rnacentral:rRNA from 1 species
CUUUCAGCAACGGAUCUCUUGGCUCUCGCAUCGAUGAAGAACGCAGCGAAAUGCGAUAAGUAAUGUGAAUUGCAGAAUUCAGUGAAUCAUCGAAUCUUUGAACGCACCUUGCGCCUCUUGGUAUUCCGAGAGGCAUGCCUGUUUGAGUGUCAUUAAAUUCU